AAGUCGUAACAAGGUUGCCGUAGGUGAACCUGCGGCAGGAUCAUUAAUGAUCAAACAAGUCGCGCCCUUUUUCUUCGGGAAAGGGGUUCGCAACCGCUUGGUGAGAGCCUCGUCUCUAUUACGUACGCGGGCUUCUCUGGACAGAUUUCGUCUCCCUUACGUACGAAAUCUCUUGCAACCAGGUACCAAAAACAGAAAAAAAUAUCGUACCUUCGGUGGAUCACUCGGCUGGUG
rnacentral:misc_RNA from 1 species